AGCGUACACGGUGGAUGCCUUGGCAGUCAGAGGCGAUGAAGGACGUGGUAAUCUGCGAUAAGCGCUGGUGAGUUGAUAAACAAACCGUGACCCAGCGAUGUCCGAAUGGGGCAACCCACUUGCAUAAGCAAGUAUUCCUUAGCUGAAUACAUAGGCUUUGGAAAGCGAACCCGGGGAACUGAAACAUCUAAGUACCCGGAGGAAAAGAAAUCAAUUGAGAUUCCCCCAGUAGCGGCGAGCGACCGGGGAACAGCCCUUAAGCAAUUAAUGCGUUAGUGGAACACUCUGGAAAGUGUGGCCAUAGCGGGUGACAGCCCCGUACACGAAAACGCAUCAAUUGUGAAAACGAGUAGGACGGGACACGUGAAAUCCUGUUUGAAUAUGGGGGGACCAUCCUCCAAGGCUAAAUACUCCUGACUGACCGAUAGUGAACCAGUACCGUGAGGGAAAGGCGAAAAGAACCCCGUUGAGGGGAGUGAAACAGAACCUGAAACCGUGUACGUACAAGCAGUGGGAGCCUGAUUCGUCAGGUGACUGCGUACCUUUUGUAUAAUGGGUCAGCGACUUACUUUCAGUGGCAAGGUUAACCGUUUAGGGGAGCCGUAGGGAAACCGAGUCUUAAUAGGGCGUGCAGUCGCUGGGAGUAGACCCGAAACCGGGCGAUCUAUCCAUGGGCAGGUUGAAGGUUGAGUAACAUCAACUGGAGGACCGAACCGACUAUCUUUGAAAAGCUAGCGGAUGACCUGUGGAUAGGAGUGAAAGGCUAAUCAAGCCCGGAGAUAGCUGGUUCUCCUCGAAAGCUAUUUAGGUAGCGCCUCGUGUCUCACCAUCGGGGGUAGAGCACUGUUUGGGCUAGGGGGUCAUCCCGACUUACCAACCCCAUGCAAACUCCGAAUACCGAUGAGUGCAAUCACGGGAGACACACGGCGGGUGCUAACGUCCGUCGUGGAAAGGGAAACAACCCAGACCGUCAGCUAAGGUCCCCAAGUAACAGUUAAGUGGGAAACGAUGUGAGAAGGCCCAGACAGCCAGGAGGUUGGCUUAGAAGCAGCCACCCUUUAAAGAAAGCGUAAUAGCUCACUGGUCGAGUCGGCUCGCGCGGAAGAUUUAACGGGGCUCAAACUGUUCACCGAAGCUACGGGUGCUUAGCGUUGCUAAGCGCGGUAGAGGAGCGUUCUGUAAGCCGCAGAAGGUGUGCCGGGAGGCAUGCUGGAGGUAUCAGAAGUGCGAAUGCUGACAUGAGUAACGAUAAGGGAAGUGAGAAGCUUCCCCGCCGGAAGACCAAGGGUUCCUGCGCAACGCUAAUCGGCGCAGGGUGAGUCGGCCCCUAAGGUGAGGUCGAAAGACGUAAUCGAUGGGAAACAGGUCAAUAUUCCUGUACCCCUGUUGGCUGCGACGGAGUGACGGAGAAGGCUAGGUCAGCGCAGCGAUGGUUGUCUGCGUUUAAGGCAGUAGGCCGGGGUUCCAGGCAAAUCCGGAACCUCAAGGCCGAGAGCUGAUGACGAUCCUCCACGGAGGAGAAGUGAUUGAUGCCCGGCUUCCAGGAAAAACUUCUAAGCUUCAGGCCAACAGGGACCGUACCCCAAACCGACACAGGUGGUCAGGUAGAGAAUACCAAGGCGCUUGAGAGAACUCGGGUGAAGGAACUAGGCAAAAUGGCACCGUAACUUCGGGAGAAGGUGCGCCGCUGCCGGUGACCGGACUUGCUCCGUGAGCUGGCGGUGGUCGAAGAUACCAGGUGGCUGCGACUGUUUAUUAAAAACACAGCACUGUGCAAACACGAAAGUGGACGUAUACGGUGUGACGCCUGCCCGGUGCCGGAAGGUUAAUUGAUGGGGUUAGAGGCAACUCGAAGCUCUUGAUCGAAGCCCCGGUAAACGGCGGCCGUAACUAUAACGGUCCUAAGGUAGCGAAAUUCCUUGUCGGGUAAGUUCCGACCUGCACGAAUGGCGUAACGAUGGCCACGCUGUCUCCACCCGAGACUCAGUGAAAUUGAACUCGCUGUUAAGAUGCAGCGUAUCCGCGGCUAGACGGAAAGACCCCGUGAACCUUUACUACAGCUUCACAGUGGAUCUUGAUGUUGCUUGUGUAGGAUAGGUGGGAGGCUUUGAAACGUGGACGCCAGUCUGCGUGGAGCCAACCUUGAAAUACCACCCUGGCAAUAUUGAGGUUCUAACCCGGGUCCCGGAACGGGAUCGGGGACAUUGUGUGGUGGGUAGUUUGACUGGGGCGGUCUCCUCCCAAAGAGUAACGGAGGAGCACGAAGGUUGGCUAAGUACGGUCGGACAUCGUACGGUUAGUGUAAUGGCACAAGCCAGCUUGACUGCGAGAGGUACAUCUCGAGCAGGUACGAAAGUAGGUCAUAGUGAUCCGGUGGUUCUGAAUGGAAGGGCCAUCGCUCAACGGAUAAAAGGUACUCCGGGGAUAACAGGCUGAUACCGCCCAAGAGUUCACAUCGACGGCGGUGUUUGGCACCUCGAUGUCGGCUCAUCACAUCCUGGGGCUGAAGCCGGUCCCAAGGGUAUGGCUGUUCGCCAUUUAAAGUGGUACGCGAGCUGGGUUUAGAACGUCGUGAGACAGUUCGGUCCCUAUCUGCCGUGGACGUUGGAAGUUUGAGAAGAGCUGCUCCUAGUACGAGAGGACCGGAGUGGACGGACCACUGGUGUUCGGGUUGUGUCGCCAGACGCAUUGCCCGGUAGCUAUGUUCGGACGGGAUAACCGCUGAAAGCAUCUAAGCGGGAAGCCCCCUUCAAGAUAAGACUUCCCUGGAGAGUAGAUCUCCCUGAAGAGCCGUUAAAGACGAUGACGUUGA
rnacentral:rRNA from 1 species